AUAUAUACUGAAUCGCUAUCCAAUAUGCAAUAAAUAAGCUAUUUUUGUAGCAAGUGGCCGUUGUCCGGACGGCUUUGUGAAGUUCGGGCUAUCCUGUUAUUCCUUUAGCAAUGACGUUCAAACUUGGACAGGCGCGCAGGUAGCAUGCAGCCAGGCAUUCUUCCCAACAAGAGCGAAUCUUGUGGAAAUCAAUAACCAGACAGAGAACAAUUUCCUCUGGCAACGAGCUCGGGAAACUAAAAAAAAUUACUGGGUAGGAGCCUCGGACUUGCAGAUUAUAGGGAUGUACCGUUGGCUCAACUCGGGAAAAGUAGUCGGCGCUCCUGACAUUUACUGGGGACCGGGCGAACCUCUAGGAGCGGUGGAACACUGCAUGGCAAUUGGGCACGCUUUCAGUACAUCAAAUUGUUGGUUCGACAUCUCCUGUCAACAACAGUUAAAUUUCAUCUGCGAAACUCCGGCGCGAUGAUCAAGAGUGUCUCAAGUCCAUGAUAUUUUUAACGGUCAUGAUAAAAUAUGAUACAGUCAAGGACCAUUACUUUUAUUUGUUAUUUUGUAGGCUUUGCUGUUGUUUAUUCUUUCAGAAGAUGCAUGCAAUUGAUAUGUAAUUGUCACAAUUGCGCCCUAUAUAAUACAAUAUCAAGGAUGCUAUAACAUUUUAUAUUGUUUUGGCGUUGUCCGUCCGUCCGUCCGUCUUUCCGUCCGUCCGUCCGUCCGUCCGGCACUUUUGUGUCCGGAGCCAUAUCUUAGAAGUGCUUUGGCGGAUUUCAUUGAAACUUGGUAUGAGUAUAUAUAUGGAUACGAGGAUGAUGCACGCCAAAUGGCAUCGUACACCAUCUGUUAAUAACGGAGUGAUGGCUCUUUGAAUCUUAAAAAAUGCUUUUUUAGUGUCAAUUUUAACACUUUUGUGUCCAGAAGUAUAUUGGCGGGGUAUAUCAAUUCAAUGAAUUUGCUUGUUGAUGUAAAAUUUUGCAAAAAACAUCGUCAAUCGUGGUAACAAAGUUUGAUAGGUUUUUAUCUCAUCAAAUAGUGUGUCUUAGCACUUAUCAGAACAAUACUCUUAGUCACUUACCACAUUAACAACUCAUUGUGUUUACAAAUUAAUGAUAAAACGAACUUUUUUCACGCUUUGAAAAGAUAUCUAAACAAACCUUUUAACACGACACAUUAUCUACAUUGCAAGUAAAUUAUCUUUUUUGCUUGCAAAAAGAUAAUAAAGACUAUUGGAAUAAAAUUCAUCUAUCAUGAAUCGAUAAUCAAAAGGAAUUAAUGUGGGUGGUUUAAUUCACCAAAAUAUGUUACUUUUAAAUAAAUUAAAUAGUACACGUAUUUCAAUACUUAUGUCAAAAAGGCAUUAUGAUAUUUUGACAAAAAUGUAUUAUAUUUUUGCAUCACUUUGUAAGGAGUGUUUCAAAAUAU